CACCAGUACACUUCUCCUUAGUACCAUCACAUUUACAACAUCCCACACCUAUAAAUGACCACUACAGGAGCCUGCUGCAUAUCAGCACACCAAGCAUGCCAGAGACUUGCAGCCUCAGCAACACCAAAACAAGUGGCUUCAGAACAUUAGCAGUCGCCACUUAAAAAAAAAAAGGAAAAAAUUAAAACAUGAAAGGAUCUAUUUGCAGAAGUUAGAAGCAAUCAGGACAAACAGUAUCAUACAUAGCAAAUCAUCAACAUACAGCUCCUUGCAUAUACAGAUGACAGACCUGUCUGUGGCAAAAAAAAAGUUUAUUUAUCAAAUGAAUUAUCACACUGCAAGGAGGAAAUGUGAGACACCUGGCUAACCUCAAGAUCAAUCAUCGUUUUUAGCAACAAAUUCCAGUGCAAUCCCAUGGAGUGAUGGGUCAUGCAUUAAACACCAUGUACAAAGCUGUCCUUUUGAUUUUAGAUAUUCCUCUGCGCAUUUGUAAAAAUAAAGUUGAUCUUUAGCACUUAU